AGAGUUUGAUCAUGGCUCAGAACGAACGCUGGCGGCAGGCUUAACACAUGCAAGUCGAGCGCACUCUUCGGAGUGAGCGGCGGACGGGUUAGUAACGCGUGGGAACGUGCCCUUCUCUAAGGAAUAGCCACUGGAAACGGUGAGUAAUACCUUAUACGCCCUUCGGGGGAAAGAUUUAUCGGAGAAGGAUCGGCCCGCGUUAGAUUAGAUAGUUGGUGGGGUAAUGGCCUACCAAGUCUACGAUCUAUAGCUGGUUUUAGAGGAUGAUCAGCAACACUGGGACUGAGACACGGCCCAGACUCCUACGGGAGGCAGCAGUGGGGAAUCUUGGACAAUGGGCGCAAGCCUGAUCCAGCCAUGCCGCGUGAGUGAUGAAGGCCUUAGGGUCGUAAAGCUCUUUCGCCAGAGAUGAUAAUGACAGUAUCUGGUAAAGAAACCCCGGCUAACUCCGUGCCAGCAGCCGCGGUAAUACGGAGGGGGUUAGCGUUGUUCGGAAUUACUGGGCGUAAAGCGCACGUAGGCGGAUCAGAAAGUAUAGGGUGAAAUCCCAGGGCUCAACCCUGGAACUGCCUUGUAAACUCCUGGUCUUGAGUUCGAGAGAGGUGAGUGGAAUUCCGAGUGUAGAGGUGAAAUUCGUAGAUAUUCGGAGGAACACCAGUGGCGAAGGCGGCUCACUGGCUCGAUACUGACGCUGAGGUGCGAAAGUGUGGGGAGCAAACAGGAUUAGAUACCCUGGUAGUCCACACCGUAAACGAUGAAUGCCAGACGUCAGCAAGCAUGCUUGUUGGUGUCACACCUAACGGAUUAAGCAUUCCGCCUGGGGAGUACGGUCGCAAGAUUAAAACUCAAAGGAAUUGACGGG
rnacentral:rRNA from 1 species